ensembl:miRNA mir-788 ncRNA
UCCGCUUCUAACUUCCAUUUGCAG